AACCAUAGAAACCUGCGGAGUACCUGCGGAAGGAUCACUGCUAGAAAGGGAUUGGUGGGAUUGGGUGGGGGGAUGGAUUAAUGGAUUCACUCUCACCCUCAUUACCAUUACCAUUAACACGCUUGAUUGUUUGACUAUAACCUAUAAUCACCUAUACAACUUUUAGCAAUGGAUCU
rnacentral:misc_RNA from 1 species